rnacentral:rRNA from 1 species
UAACGCGUGGGUAACCUGCCCUGUACACACGGAUAACAUACCGAAAGGUAUGCUAAUACGAGAUAAUAUGCUUUUAUCGCAUGGUAGAAGUAUCAAAGCUCCGGCGGUACAGGAUGGACCCGCGUCUGAUUAGCUAGUUGGUAAGGUAACGGCUUACCAAGGCGACGAUCAGUAGCCGACCUGAGAGGGUGAUCGGCCACAUUGGAACUGAGACACGGUCCAAACUCCUACGGGAGGCAGCAGUGGGGAAUAUUGCACAAUGGGCGAAAGCCUGAUGCAGCAACGCCGCGUGAGCGAUGAAGGCCUUCGGGUCGUAAAGCUCUGUCCUCAAGGAAGAUAAUGACGGUACUUGAGGAGGAAGCCCCGGCUAACUACGUGCCAGCAGCCGCGGUAAUACGUAGGGGGCUAGCGUUAUCCGGAAUUACUGGGCGUAAAGGGUGCGUAGGUGGUUUCUUAAGUCAGAGGUGAAAGGCUACGGCUCAACCGUAGUAAGCCUUUGAAACUGGGAAACUUGAGUGCAGGAGAGGAGAGUGGAAUUCCUAGUGUAGCGGUGAAAUGCGUAGAUAUUAGGAGGAACACCAGUUGCGAAGGCGGCUCUCUGGACUGUAACUGACACUGAGGCACGAAAGCGUGGGGAGCAAACAGGAUUAGAUACCCUGGUAGUCCACGCCGUAAACGAUGAGUACUAGCUGU